rnacentral:rRNA from 1 species
UACGUAGGCGGCAAGCGUUGUCCGGAUUUAUUGGGCGUAAAGCGCGCGUAGGCGGCGCGGUAUGUCGUGCGUGAAAUCUCCCGGCUUAACUGGGAGGGGCCGUGCGAAACUGCCGGGCUUGAGGUCGGAAGGGGAAAGUGGAAUUCCGGGUGUAGUGGUGGAAUACGUAGAUAUCCGGAGGAACACCAGCGGCGAAGGCGGCUUUCUGGUCCGAUACUGACGCUGAGGUGCGAAAGCGUGGGGAGCGAUCCGG